AGCUUUAUAUUCAACAAUGAUAUAAAAUUGCAAAUUUUAAGGUGUAAUAUUUACUAAGGCUU
rnacentral:tRNA from 3 species